AUUGAACGCUGGCGGCAGGCCUAACACAUGCAAGUCGAACGAGUGGCGGACGGGUGAGUAAUGUCUGGGAAACUGCCCGAUGGAGGGGGAUAACUACUGGAAACGGUAGCUAAUACCGCAUACCAUCGGAUGUGCCCAGAUGGGAUUAGCUAGUAGGUGGGGUAACGGCUCACCUAGGCGACGAUCCCUAGCUGGUCUGAGAGUAUGAACAGCCACAGUGGAACUGAGACACGGUGCAUAAUCCGACGGGAGGCAGCAGUGGGGAAUAUUGCACAAUGGGUGCAAGCCUGAUGCAGCCAUGCGGCGUGUAUGAAGAAGGCCUUCGGGUUGUAAAUUACUUUCAGCGAGGAGGCGUGACUCGCAGAAGAAGCACCGGCUAACUCCGUGCCAGCAGCGGUGGUAAUAC
rnacentral:rRNA from 1 species